CGCACUGUGGUGGAUUCGAGUACGCUUUACACACGCUAACGAGUAGCAAUUGGAGGGCAAGUCUGGUGCCAGCAGCCGCGGUAAUUCCAGCUCCAAUAGCGUAUAUUAAAGUUGCUGCGGUUAAAACGCUCGUAGUUGAAUUGUGGUCUUAGACAACAGUCCCCCUACAAAGGUGUGGCACGGUUGCUCGAGAUCUUCAUUCGUGGUUGCUGUUGUUGCUCUUCAUUGAGUGUCAAUGGUGCCUCGAGAUUUUACUUUGAAAAAAUUAGAGUGCUCAAAGCAGGUUGUGAUGCCUGAAUAAUGGUGCAUGGAAUAAUAGAAUACGAUCUCGGUUCUAUUUUGUUGGUUUUCGAACCGGAGAUAAUGAUUGAAAGGAACAGACGGGGGCAUUCGUAUUGCUGCGUUAGAGGUGAAAUUCUUGGAUCGCAGCAAGAUGAACAAUUGCGAAAGCAUUUGCCAAGAAUGUUUUCAUUAAUCAAGAACGAAAGUUAGAGGUUCGAAGGCGAUCAGAUACCGCCCUAGUUCUAACGGUAAACUAUGCCAACCAGCGAUUCGCCGAAGUUCAUUUAAGACUCGGCGAGCAGCUUCCGGGAAAGCCAAAGUGUUUCGGUUCCGGGGGAAGUAUGGUUGCAAAGCUGAAACUUAAAGGAAUUGACGGAGGGGCACGACCACGAGUGGAGCCCGCGGCUUAGAUUGACUC
rnacentral:ncRNA from 1 species